rnacentral:rRNA from 2 species
GGCGCAAGCCUGAUGGAGCAACACCGCGUGAGUGAAGAAGGGUUUCGGCUCGUAAAGCUCUGUUGUUAAAGAAGAACACGUAUGAGAGUAACUGUUCAUACGUUGACGGUAUUUAACCAGAAAGUCACGGCUAACUACGUGCCAGCAGCCGCGGUAAUACGUAGGUGGCAAGCGUUAUCCGGAUUUAUUGGGCGUAAAGAGAGUGCAGGCGGUUUUCUAAGUCUGAUGUGAAAGCCUUAGGCUUAACCGGAGAAGUGCAUCGGAAACUGGAUAACUUGAGUGCAGAAGAGGGUAGUGGAACUCCAUGUGUAGCGGUGGAAUGCGUAGAUAUAUGGAAGAACACCAGUGGCGAAGGCGGCUACCUGGUCUGCAACUGACGCUGAGACUCGAAAGCAUGGGUAGCGAACAGGAUUAGAUACCCUGGUAGUCCAUGCCGUAAACGAUGAGUGCUAGGUGUUGGAGGGUUUCCGCCCUUCAGCGCCGGAGCUAACGCAUUAAGCACUCCGCCUGGGGAGUACGACCGCAAGGUUGAAACUCAAAGGAAUUGACGGGGGCCCGCACAAGCGGUGGAGCAUGUGGUUUAAUUCGAAGCUACGCGAAGAACCUUACCAGGUCUUGACAUCUUGCGCCAACCCUAGAGAUAGGGCGUUUCCUUCGGGGAACGCAAUGACAGGUGGUGCAUGG